rnacentral:rRNA from 1 species
GUGUCAGCCGCCGCGGUAAUACGAGAGGUCCAAACGUUAUUCGGAAUCACUGGGCUUACAGAGUUCGUAGGCGGUUCUACAAGUGGGGUGUGAAAGCCCUCGGCUCAACCGAGGAACUGCGCUCCAAACUGUAGAACUAGAGGGAGAUAGAGGUGAGCGGAACUGAUGGUGGAGCGGUGAAAUGCGUUGAUAUCAUCAGGAACACCGGAGGCGAAGGCGGCUCACUGGGUCUCUUCUGACGCUGAGGAACGAAAGCUAGGGGAGCAAACGGGAUUAGAAACCCGAGUAGUCC